rnacentral:rRNA from 1 species
GACCUCAUAAAGUGCGUCGUAGUCCGGAUUGGAGUCUGCAACUCGACUCCAUGAAGUCGGAAUCGCUAGUAAUCGUGGAUCAGAAUGCCACGGUGAAUACGUUCCCGGGCCUUGUACACACCGCCCGUCACACCAUGGGAGUGGGUUGCAAAAGAAGUAGGUAGCUUAACCUUUGGGAGGGCGCUUACCACUUUGUGAUUCAUGACUGGGGUGAAGUCGUAACAAGGUAACCGUAGGGGAACCUGCGGUUGGAUCACCUCCUUA